rnacentral:misc_RNA from 16 species
UCAUCGAACUGCUUCCCUCACUUUUCGAUCAAGUUUUGAUCCACAAACUAAUGUGGAUGCAAAAAGCGGGUUCCUGUGUUGUAUACCUAUUGCGACGGAAAUUUGUGCCUAUUGUCGUCCCUUUCAACACGACAUCUUCUUCGGGUGCUCGGUUGGACUAGAUAGUGGGGCUCGUGUUCCUCGGACAUCUCAUUUGAUUGUUCGGAUGGAUCGCGAGCGCUUACUUGGUCUCUCGGAUGCGGAACUUUCUUCACGGGUGUUGUGGUCAUUGGCCCUUGUUCCCAAUCUCAAGCGUUUAUCGCUUAUCGGAAUGACGCUCCUGCCUCGUCUUUGAUCGUGCGUGGAGCUCUCGGGCUUCACGGCGGAUCAUGCUUGGCGGACGUCGUGAAGGAAUGCUACCUGGUUG